UACACUCCUACGGGAGGCAGCAGUAGGGAAUCUUCGGCAAUGGGGGCAACCCUGACCGAGCAACGCCGCGUGAGUGAAGAAGGUUUUCGGAUCGUAAAGCUCUGUUGUAAGUCAAGAACGAGUGUGAGAGUGGAAAGUUCACACUGUGACGGUAGCUUACCAGAAAGGGACGGCUAACUACGUGCCAGCAGCCGCGGUAAUACGUAGGUCCCGAGCGUUGUCCGGAUUUAUUGGGCGUAAAGCGAGCGCAGGCGGUUUGAUAAGUCUGAAGUUAAAGGCUGUGGCUCAACCAUAGUUCGCUUUGGAAACUGUCAAACUUGAGUGCAGAAGGGGAGAGUGGAAUUCCAUGUGUAGCGGUGAAAUGCGUAGAUAUAUGGAGGAACACCGGUGGCGAAAGCGGCUCUCUGGUCUGUAACUGACGCUGAGGCUCGAAAGCGUAGGGAGCGAACAGGAUUAGAUACCCGUGUAGUCCCAUGA
rnacentral:rRNA from 1 species